UACGUAGGGUGCAAGCGUUGUCCGGAAUUAUUGGGCGUAAAGAGCUCGUAGGUGGCCUGUCGCGUCGGCUGUGAAAACUCAGGGCUCAACCCUGAGCCUGCAGUCGAUACGGGCAGGCUAGAGUCCGGCAGGGGAGACUGGAAUUCCUGGUGUAGCGGUGAAAUGCGCAGAUAUCUGGAGGAACACCGGUGGCGAAGGCGGGUCUCUGGGCCGGAACUGACACUGAGGAGCGAAAGCGUGGGGAGCGAACAGG
rnacentral:rRNA from 1 species